GAAACACGGACCAUGGAGUCUAGCAUGUGCGCGAGUCAUUGGGAAUCACUAAACCUAAAGGCGCAAUGAAAGUGAAGGUUCGCCUCGCGCGGACCGAGGGAGGAUGGGUGUGCACGUUCGCGUGCCGCUCCGCACUCCCGGGGCGUCUCGUUCUCAUUGCGAGAAGAGGCGCACCAAGAGCGUACACGCUGGGACCCGAAAGAUGGUGAACUAUGCCUGGUCAGGACGAAGUCAGGGGAAACCCUGAUGGAGGUCCGUAGCGAUUCUGACGUGCAAAUCGAUCGUCGGAACUGGGUAUAGGGGCGAAAGACUAAUCGAACCAUCUAGUAGCUGGUUCCCUCCGAAGUUUCCCUCAGGAUAGCUGGCGCUCGUCGCCUACGAGUCUCAUCCGGUAAAGCGAAUGAUUAGAGGCAUUGGGGUCGAAACGGCCUCAACCUAUUCUCAAACUUUAAAUGGGUGAGAUCUCCGGCUUGCUCGAACUUAUGAAGCCGCGAGACACGGAUCAGAGUGCCAAGUGGGCCAUUUUUGGUAAGCAGAACUGGCGCUGUGGGAUGAACCAAACGCCGAGUUAAAGCGCCUAAAUCGACGCUUAUGGGAUACCAUGAAAGGCGUUGGUAACUUAAGACAGCAGGACGGUGGCCAUGGAAGUCGGAAUCCG
rnacentral:rRNA from 1 species